AGUCAAGUUUAAGACUCAGAUAUUGAGCACUUUUUUUUUACUUUUGAGCAUUCUAGUAUUCAGCAGGCCAACAGGAUUUUAUCUGAGCCUGCUCCUGUGUUGAACUCUGAAUAUGUGCCAAAAAACUCUGAAAGGAGGUACAGGGUCCUCUUGUCUAAGCACAAUCAUUACAAACCUUCAUUUGUCAGGUAAACUUAAUAAUGGGUGACUCCUGGAGGACACACAGAGGAGGGAGGCACUCAGAUAACUGCAGGUUUUGGAUCAUGUGUUUGCUUGUGAUUUAUGUACUAAGGUGUGUAUGCUUUGAGAUGUAUGCCUUUGAAUUUUUAAAGUUUGUAACAGAGAAAAUGGUUUUGUGACUCAUUUGCUUCGUUGUUUUAUCUCAGGCUAGCGUUUGCAUGUGUGUUUUUAUUUAAAGUGUUUUAUUGUGAUGUUUGGUUUUGUUGCAGCAAUUCCCUUAAUCCAAGACACUUUUCUCCUAUUUGAGACAAUAAAAGUAACCUAAACCUUUUAUCCUUAAGAAGUAAAUGAUUAAAAUGUCCAUUCUGUAAAAAACACAGGUUCUGACUCAGCAUCUGACAAGUAUAUAGGAUCCAGUCUGGACAUUUGUAAAAUAAACAUGCGCCCAUGAAAUAAUGUAAAACACAAAAUAAAAUUCAUGGAUGCCGAAGUAACGAUCAAUCAUGAAACUAUAGAGGGAGAAUUUGACAGAUGCCAAUAAUCUUCCUCUUUGAAGGUGAUUUACUUUUGUAAAGUCCUCUCAUGAUUUGAUAAGCCCUCAAAUGUGACACUAAUGUAAAAAUAUGAAUGAUAUUGAUUGUCAUGUGUAAUUGAAUAGUAGUACAUCGUCUGAGUAAAACUUUAACUCAGUCAGGACCUUCACAUGUUCUGUCAAGUGUCAGUCAGUGUUACCUUAUCAGCUACUUCUUACCUGAUGGAAAUGAUUUAAUUUAGUGACUAGCAGCACCACAGCAGAGACAAACACACUAUUUACCAGAGUUGUGUGAGGAAGGAGGGAGGGAUUAAAGGAGGAGAAAAACUGUGACUCAAGUACAGAAAAGACACAAACUUUCACAGUGGUGUUUCAUACAAAAACCAGACAGAUUCUCUUUAUCUUUAAGAUGCUGUCAGUGAACUUCAGUCUGUUUGUGACUUUGUUUCUGCUCACAAUAAGAGGUGUCAGCUGUGAAGAACUCACUCCAGAUAACAAUGAAGAGUUCAGUUUAGAAGGCAGCACUGUUACUCUGUCCUACAAAUACUCCAAAAAAGCUGAUAGCAACGAUAAUUUCUUCUGGUAUCGACAAUAUCCAGGAAAACAACCAGAGUUCCUCCUGUACAUCUCAGGGCUCAACUUUACAAGACCAGCAGAGUCUCUAGAAUCAGACACAAAGUUCUCUACUAAAUUGUCUGGAGAAAAACAUCUGGAUCUGCAGAUCUCCUCUGUUGCAGUGACUGACUCUGCUCUGUACUACUGUGCUGUGAAGCCCACAGUGACAGGAAACACCAAGACUCUGUACAAAAACCUUUGGAGCAAAGACAACAGAAUACUCCACAACGUCCACUAGAGGGAGUCACACACUGUUAACCUUCAAUGGUUUAUGAUGAUACAGUCUUCAAUCACUUUACUUUCAGUCAAGAUUGUAACGUAAAGCUUUAGAAAUGAAACGUCUCAUAGCUCAUUCACUCUGAACAUCAAAUUACAUUUCACGAAAGUAACCAAUACCAAGUACAAAAUACCUAAGAAACAGAUUUGACCAUUUUGUUGUCCAGAGGUGUCAUUUCUUCUUCAAAGAAUGGUUUAAUGUUAUUUAAACAACAUUUGAUUUAAUCUAUUUUAGGAACAAAACUUAAAACAUCUUAAGUGCAUAACUAACUUGAAAGAUACUAAGAGUUUUGAAGUGUUUUUGAAUCAUGUCACAGAAAAGGAUGACAAUUAUUAGUUGUUGGAUGGCAGCUGUAUAAAAUGAGGUGUUGUUUAUAUAAAUGAGAGACUAUCACACAGCAAAUCCUCUGACAACCAGUCUAACAGCUGAGAGGCCUCCACCAAUGGAGUCCUUUCUCACCACUGCUGUUUGAUCCUUCGGGAGUAAAGGAUUAAAAUGUCCAUUCCGUAAAAAACUCAUGAUGUCAAGGUUCUGACUCAGCAUCUGCCAAAUAUAUAGGAUCCAGUCUGGACAUUAAAGCUUUUGUAAAACAAUCAUGGUCCAUGAAAUAAUUGUCACAGUCUGUCUUGUUCUCUCCAGUCACUCCCCUUCACUCUGCACUCCCUCACCUGAGUAUUAAUUCCCAGCACCUGUCACCCAUCGCACACCUGCACGUAAUCAGCCACUCCACUCACCUAUAUAACCCAGCUCCUCACUACAGUCAGUGUCCGGUCUCGUUAAUGCCACAGGACAGAACGCUAGUUCCCCUGACUUUGUUAACGCCUUGGACUCUAUCUACCUGUACGGAUUAUACCACAUAC